UACGUAGGGGGCAAGCGUUGUCCGGAUUUAUUGGGCGUAAAGAGCGUGUAGGCGGCUCGAUAAGUCCGCUGUGAAAGUCCAGGGCUCAACCCUGGAAGGCCGGUGGAAACUGUCGGGCUAGAGUCCGGAAGAGGCGAGUGGAAUUCCCGGUGUAGCGGUGAAAUGCGCAGAUAUCGGGAGGAACACCAAUUGCGAAGGCAGCUCGCUGGGACGUUACUGACGCUGAGACGCGAAAGCGUGAGGAGCAAACAGG
rnacentral:rRNA from 1 species